rnacentral:rRNA from 1 species
AUUGAACGCUGGCGGCAGGCUUAACACAUGCAAGUCGAGCGGGGAAAAGUAGCUUGCUACUGGACCUAGCGGCCGACGGGUGAGUAAUGCUUAGGAAUCUGCCUAUUAGUGGGGGACAACACCUCGAUCGGGAUGCUAAUACCGCAUACGUCCUACGCGAGAAGGCAGGGGAGCGUCGGGCCUUGCGCUAAUCGAUGAGCCUAAGUCGGAUUAGCUAGUUGGUGGGGUAAAGGUCUAGCAAGGCGACGAUCUGUAGCGGGUCUGAGAGGAUGAUCCGCCACACUGGGACUGAGACACGUCCCAGACUCCUACGGGAGGCAGCAGUGGGGAAUAUUGGACAAUGGGGGGAACCCUGAUCCAGCCAUGCCGCGUGUGUGAAGAAGGCCUUUUGGUUGUGAAGCACUUUAAGCGAGGAGGAGGCUACCGAGAUUAAUACUCUUGGAUAGUGGACGUUACUCGCAGAAUAAGCACCGGCUAACUCUGUGCCAGCCGCCGCAGUAAAAC